rnacentral:rRNA from 1 species
AGAGGAAGUAAAAGUCGUAACAAGGUUUCCGUAGGUGAACCUGCGGAAGGAUCAUUAUUGAAAUAAACCUGAUGAGUUGUUGCUGGUUCUCUAGGGAGCAUGUGCACACUUGUCAUCUUUAUAUCUCCACCUGUGCACCUUUUGUAGACCUGGAUAUCUCUCUGAGUGCUAGCCACUCAGGUUUGAGGAUUGACUUUAUGUCUCUCCUUACAUUUCCAGGCCUAUGUUUCUUUAUAUACCCAAUGUAUGUCAUAGAAUGUAAUCAAUGGGCCUUUGUGCCUAUAAACCUAUACAACUUUCAGCAACGGAUCUCUUGGCUCUCGCAUCGAUGAAGAACGCAGCGAAAUGCGAUAAGUAAUGUGAAUUGCAGAAUUCAGUGAAUCAUCGAAUCUUUGAACGCACCUUGCGCUCCUUGGUAUUCCGAGGAGCAUGCCUGUUUGAGUGUCAUUAAUAUAUCAACCUCUUCAACUUUUGUUUGUCGGGUGUUGGAUUUGGGGGUCUUUUUUUUGCUGGUCUUCUAAAGGUCGGCUCCCCUGAAAUGCAUUAGCAGAACAAUUUGUGAACCGUUCAUUGGUGUGAUAACUAUCUACACUAUUGACGUGAAACAGUUCAGCUUCUAACAGUCCAUYGACUUGGACAACUUUUCAUUAAUGUGACCUCAAAUCAGGUAGGACUACCCGCUGAACUUAAGCAUAUC